rnacentral:rRNA from 1 species
AGGACGAACGCUGGCGGCGUGCUUAACACAUGCAAGUCGAGCGGAAAGGCCCUUCGGGGUACUCGAGCGGCGAACGGGUGAGUAACACGUGAGCAACCUGCCCUUAGCUCUGGGAUAGCUCCGGGAAACCGGAAUUAAUACCGGAUAUGACCUAGGCCGACAUCGGCCGUGGUGGAAAGUUUUUCGGCUAGGGAUGGACUCGCGGCCUAUCAGCUAGUUGGUGGGGUAAUGGCCUACCAAGGCGACGACGGGUAGCCGGCCUGAGAGGGCGACCGGCCACACUGGGACUGAGACACGGCCCAGACUCCUACGGGAGGCAGCAGUGGGGAAUCUUGCGCAAUGGGCGAAAGCCUGACGCAGCGACGCCGCGUGGGGGAUGAAGGCCUUCGGGUUGUAAACCCCUUUCAGCAGGGACGAAGCGAAAGUGACGGUACUGCAGAAGAAGCGCCGGCUAACUACGCGCCAGCAGCCGC